UCCUCAGUAGCUCAGUGGUGGAGCAACCGGCUGUUAACCGGUAGGUCGUAGGUUCAAAUCCUACCUGAGGAGCCA
rnacentral:tRNA from 1 species